GUAGACAUUAUUCCGAGACAUUAUUCCAAUUAUUUAAAGUAAUUUUUAAUUAGAAAAAAACUUAAAAAAAAAAAAAGAAAGAAAGGGGGAUGUCACACUUCCGGUUAUAUUAACUUCCUGUACGUAAUACUAGAUCCAGUCUCCUACUGUUAUAUAAACACGCGUACUCACCAUAGCCGCCAUAUUGUAACAUAUUUUCAAUAAAGCUAGUUUCAAAUAAAACGUGCAAGUUUACAAGAC